rnacentral:lncRNA from 1 species
GGUGACGCUGGCGUGUAAGAGGGACCUUGAGCGUGAGGGUGACUCCAGGAGUGUGGGAGACCUUGAGUGUAAGACUGAGCGUGGGAGAAAGACUCCGUGUGUGAGAGAGAGACUCCGAGUCUGAGGGCGACUGUGAGUGUGCAAGACCGGGUGUGAGAUGACGCUGAGAGUAUGGGAGAAACCUUGUAAGGGAGACUCUGUUUGAGUAUGUGUGUGUGAGAGAGAGAGGGACAGAGAAACAGACAUCCUGGACUAGAAGGAGGCUGCAUGUGGGUGAAACCCUGAUUCUGAGGGUUUGCUGACAUUUGUGAACUGUGCCUAUGUCAAGUGGGGCACACGUGUGCAGGACACGUUCACUUACGCCAAGGUCCUAGCGCUCAUUGCCAUCAUUGUCAUGGGCCUUGUUAAACUGUGCCAGGGACACUCUGAGCACUUUCAGGACGCCUUUCAGGGUUCCUCCUGGGACAUGGGAGACCUCUCUCUCGCCCUCUACUCUGCCCUCUUCUCUUACUCAGGUUGGGACACCCUUAAUUUUGUAACAGAAGAAAUCAAAAACCCAGAAAGGUAAAGGCGGGAUCACACUCUCACUCCCCAACUUGGCUGGAACUCCUGAUGAUAGUGGGCACACUUGCCCUCUCCCCUCCCCUCUUCCCUACAUCUCUUACCCCUUCUUCUCCCUACUCCCCUUUCUCCAGCUCGGAGGGAUUAGGGGCUAGGAUGGGAAUGAGUGAAGGUUGUAAAGCCCCUGGCUCCUUACCCUCAUGUUCACACUGGAGGAUCCCCAAGGUCCUUCCUUGAGGAGAGGUCCUUCAGUGGGCAACAGCUGACCCUUGUAUUCUGGAGCUGACAUUGAAGCCUGGGGAACCAGAAACUUAUUCUGGGCAGCCAGGUCCCCAGCCUCGCCUCCAGUCCCUAGAGGACACUGCUCCUUCUUCACUGGGACCCUUCUUCAUUGGUUCAACUGUGGGGAAGAUCAAAUAUUGAUCAGCUAUCUUC